CCUACGGGAGGCUGCAGUAGGGAAUCUUCCACAAUGGACGAAAGUCUGAUGGAGCAACGCCGCGUGAGUGAAGAAGGGUUUCGGCUCGUAAAGCUCUGUUGGUAGUGAAGAAAGAUAGAGGUAGUAACUGGCCGUUAUUUGACGGUAAUUACUUAGAAAGUGACGGCUAACUACGUGCCAGCAGCCGCGGUAAUACGUAGGUGGCAAGCGUUGUCCGGAUUUAUUGGGCGUAAGGCGAGUGCAGGCGGUUCAAUAAGUCUGAUGUGAAAGCCCUCGGCUCAACCGGAGAAUUGCAUUAGAAACUGGUGAACUUGAGUGCAGAAGAGGAGAGGGGAACGCCAUGUGAAGCGGUGGAAUGCGUAGAUAUAUGGAAGAACACCAGAGGCGAAGGCAGCUCUCUGGGCUGCAACUGACGCUGAGGCUCGAAAGCAUGGGUAGCGAACAGGAUUAGAUACCCUGGUAGUC
rnacentral:rRNA from 1 species